rnacentral:rRNA from 1 species
GAUGAACGCUGGCGGCGUGCCUAAUACAUGCAAGUCGAGCGAACAGACGAGGAGCUUGCUCCUCUGACGUUAGCGGCGGACGGGUGAGUAACACGUGGAUAACCUACCUAUAAGACUGGGAUAACUUCGGGAAACCGGAGCUAAUACCGGAUAAUAUAUUGAACCGCAUGGUUCAAUAGUGAAAGACGGUUUUGCUGUCACUUAUAGAUGGAUCCGCGCCGCAUUAGCUAGUUGGUAAGGUAACGGCUUACCAAGGCAACGAUGCGUAGCCGACCUGAGAGGGUGCUCGGCCACACUGGAACUGAGACCCGGUCCCGACUCCUACGGGAGGCAGCCGUCGGGAAUCUUCCGCAAUGGGCGAAAGCCUGACGGAGCAACGCCGCGUGAGUGAUGAAGGUCUUCGGUUCGUAAAGCUCUGUUAUUAGGGAAGAACAAAUGUGUAAGUAACUAUGCACGUCUUGACGGUACCUAAUCAGAAAGCCACGGCUAACUACGUG